GCCUGGGUGGCUCAGUCGGUUGAGCGUCCGGUUUCAGCUCGGGUCAUGAUCACACAGUUCGUGGGUUCGAGCCCCGCAUCUGGCU
rfam:Felis catus isolate Cinnamon breed Abyssinian chromosome E2, whole genome shotgun sequence.